AAGGAUUCCCUCAGUACGGGCGACGGAAGCGGGAAAAGCCCACAUUGGUAAUCUCCAGGUUUCACCUGGCGAAUUGUAAUCUGAAGAUUGUUAGCCCACCUGGAUAACGCGUCGAAAUGCGUGCGAGCGCGCUGCCAAAGAGGGUGAGAGCCCCGUAAGGUGCGUUGUCCUAACGGUGCUGGCGGUCGAAGAGUCGUGUACUUUGAUACUAGUGCACUAAGCGGGAGAUAAACUUCUUCUAAGGCUAAAUAUAAGUAGGAAACCGAUAGCGAACAAGUACUGUGAAGGAAAGAUGAAAAGCACUUUGAAGAGAAAGUUAAAAGACUUGAAAUCGUUGAGGCGGACCCGGUAGAAAUGUAUUCUAGCGAAGCGCCCUGGGAAGCCUGUAUUCGGGCCACUCGGGCGCUAGCCGAGACAAGAUGGAGUCGCGCGAUGCCAGAGGCGGUGCAGGAGCUUGCUUGCAGGAGCCUGUGCUUGUUGGGUGUCACGCGGCUUGAGGGGCCUUGCGCGAUCUUGUCAAAAUGGUUUUUACCGACUCGUCUUGAAACACGAACCAAGGAGUCUAAGACUAACGCGAGUGUGGUGGUGGAGAAACCAACACGCGAAAUGAAAGUAAAUGAUGCCAAGCACCCUGCAGCAUCGACCGACUUUUUUCUUCUGGAAGAGGUUUGAGUAAGAGCGUUAUUCUUAGGACCCGAAAGAUGGUGAAACUAU
rnacentral:rRNA from 1 species